CGAAUUCGCCCUUGUGCCAGCAGCCGCGGUGAUACGUAGGUGGCAAGCGUUGUCCGGAUUUAUUGGGCGUAAAGCGAGCGCAGGCGGUUUCUUAAGUCUGAUGUGAAAGCCCCCGGCUCAACCGGGGAGGGUCAUUGGAAACUGGGAGACUUGAGUGCAGAAGAGGAGAGUGGAAUUCCAUGUGUAGCGGUGAAAUGCGUAGAUAUAUGGAGGAACACCAGUGGCGAAGGCGGCUCUCUGGUCUGUAGCUGACGCUGAGGCUCGAAAGCGUGGGGAGCAAACAGGAUUAGAUACCCUGGUAGUCCACGCCGUAAACGAUGAGUGCUAAGUGUUGGAGGGUUUCCGCCCUUCAGUGCUGCAGCUAACGCAUUAAGCACUCCGCCUGGGGAGUACGACCGCAAGGUUGAAACUCAAAGGAAUUGACGGGGGCCCGCACAAGCGGCGGAGCAUGUGGUUUAAUUCGAAGCAACGCGAAGAACCUUACCAGGUCUUGACAUCCUUUGACCACUCUAGAGAUAGAGCUUCCCCUUCGGGGGCAAAGUGACAGGUGGUGCAUGGUUGUCGUCAGCUCGUGUCGUGAGAUGUUGGGUUAAGUCCCGCAACGAGCGCAACCCUUAUUGUUAGUUGCCAUCAUUCAGUUGGGCACUCUAGCAAGACUGCCGGUGACAAACCGGAGGAAGGUGGGGAUGACGUCAAAUCAUCAUGCCCCUUAUGACCUGGGCUACACACGUGCUACAAUGGGAAGUACAACGAGUUGCGAAGUCGCGAGGCUAAGCUAAUCUCUUAAAGCUUCUCUCAGUUCGGAUUGCAGGCUGCAACUCGCCUGCAUGAAGCCGGAAUCGCUAGUAAUCGCGGAUCAGCACGCCGCGGUGAAUACGUUCCCGGGCCUUGUACACACCGCCCGUCACACCACGAGAGUUUGUAACACCCGAAGUCGGUGAGGUAACCUUUUUGGAGCCAGCCGCCUAAGGUAGGAUAGAUGAUUGGGGUGAAGUCGUAA
rnacentral:rRNA from 1 species